rnacentral:rRNA from 1 species
GACGAACGCUGGCGGCGUGCUUAACACAUGCAAGUCGAACGGAAAGGCCCUGCUUUUGUGGGGUUCUCGAGUGGCGAACGGGUGAGUAACACGUGAGUAACCUGCCCUUGUCUUUGGGAUAACUUCAGGAAACUGGGGCUAAUACCGGAUAGGAUCUCCUGCUGCAUGGUGGGGGUUGGAUCGUUUCGGCGGUUGGGGAUGGACUCGCGGCUUAUCAGCUUGUUGGUUGGGUAGUGGCUUACCAAGGCUUUGACGGGUAGCCGGCCUGAGAGGGUGACCGGCCACAAUGGUACUGAGAUACGGCCCAGAGUCCUACGGGAGGCAGCAGUGGGGAAUAUUGCACAAUGGGCGGAAGCCUGAUGAAGCAACGCCGCGUGCGGGAUGACGGCCUUCGGGUUGUAAACCGCAUUCGCCUGUGACGAAGCGUGAGUGACGGUAAUGGGUAAAGAAGCACCGGCUAACUACGUG